rnacentral:lncRNA from 10 species
CACUCACUCUGGGAGAAGUUAGCUGCCAUAUUGUGAGGACACUCCAACAGCCCUAGGCCGGGUGCACACGGUAAGGUGCUGAGGUCUCCUGCCCACGCUGUGAGGGAGCCAUGGUGGAAGCAGUUUCUCCACCUCAGAUCAUGCACUCUGGGCGAAGUCAGCCAGCCACACUGCUCCUGGAUUCCUGGCCCUCAGAAAUGUUGUCUGCUUGGCCAAAUGGACCAGAAUCUUUAUGAAAGUGGAAGCUGAGACUGGUCACAAUUGUAUUCCCAGAACCUAAUUCAGCGUUGGGCACAGAGAGACUCUCAAUACAUAUGUGCUGGAUGUUUAAAAAGAAGAGUUGAUGGCUACUUCAGAUGUCUUCCAAUCCAUUGAAAUUUCUAGUCCCGGGGUCUCGAGGACACUAGGGCCACUGUGCAAUGGCAGAAGGAGCAUUGCCAUAGAAGUCAGGGGGCCUGGUUACAAGUCCUGACUUUAGUUGAGGACCUGCCAUAUGACCUUGAGCAAACUGCUGUACUUCUCUGGAUCUCAGUUUCUACAACCUAAUUCACUGGGCCCAGCCUGCAGCCUGCAAGCACCGGAUGAGUGGACGUGGCUGAGCAGCCAUGAGAAAGAUGUGGGGCUCUCCGGUGACUGUAGACCCAGCAUAAAUCAACAGUUCAAGGUGCUCAUCCCCAAAGCCAUGGUGAGACCUUAGCUGCUGUAAUAAAAGUGUAGUGCCAAAGUAAGGGCAAUGACAGUCUUGCUUGGUUUUAUGCUGGAGCUCAACUCUGGGCCACACUCUUUUGUGGGGGGUGGGUGGUAAUUAUCUUUUUUAAACAAGACACUGGCUAUAUACAGUCAAGUGUGCAAGGCUUAAGUAUACAACUCAUGUAAUUUUCCCACAUUUAUAUACCUAUGUAGACAUUCAAAUGAAGAUACUAAACAUUUCCAGCCCCCAAGAAAACUUCCUUAAAUUCCCUCCUGGUCAAUCUCCCUCAAAAGUAACUAUUUAUAAUAUAUAUAAAAUAAUAUAUUUAUAGUACUAUUCUGACCUUUAAGACUGUAGAUUAGUUUUGGCUUUUUGAACAUUGUAUGGAAACAUAUAGUGGAUGUGUUUUUUGGGGUUUUUUUUUUUUGCAUCUGGUUUCUUUCAUUCAACAUUGUAUCUGUGAGAUUCACCUGUGCUACUGUGUGUAGUAACAGUUUGUUCUUUCUCAUUGAUGUGUAGUAUUCCAUUAUCUGAAAUAUACCAUAAUUUAUUUAUUUACUCUAC